rnacentral:rRNA from 1 species
AUUGAACGCUGGCGGCAGGCCUAACACAUGCAAGUCGAACGGUAACAGGAAACAGCUUGCUGUUUCGCUGACGAGGGGCGGACGGGUGAGUAAUGUCUGGGAAACUGCCUGAUGGAGGGGGAUAACUACUGGAAACGGUAGCUAAUACCGCAUAACGUCGCAAGACCAAAGAGGGGGACCUUCGGGCCUCUUGCCAUCGGAUGUGCCCAGAUGGGAUUAGCUAGUAGGUGGGGUAACGGCUCACCUAGGCGACGAUCCCUAGCUGGUCUGAGAGGAUGACCAGCCGCACUGGAACUGAGACACGGUCCAGACUCCUACGGGAGGCAGCAGUGGGGAAUAUUGCACAAUGGGCGCAAGCCUGAUGCAGCCAUGCCGCGUGUAUGAAGAAGGCCUUCGGGUUGUAAAGUACUUUCAGCGGGGAUGAAGGGAGUAAAGUUAAUACCUUCGCUCAUUGACGUUACCCGCAGAAGAAGCACCGGCUAACUCCGUG